AGGGUUCGAUUCUGGCUCAGGAUGAACGCUGGCGGCGUGCUUAACACAUGCAAGUCGAACGGGAUCCCAGGAGCUUGCUCCUGGGUGAGAGUGGCGAACGGGUGAGUAAUGCGUGACCGACCUGCCCCAUACACCGGAAUAGCUCCUGGAAACGGGUGGUAAUGCCGGAUGCUCCAGUUGGAUGCAUGUCCUUCUGGGAAAGAUUCAUCGGUAUGGGAUGGGGUCGCGUCCUAUCAGCUUGAUGGCGGGGUAACGGCCCACCAUGGCUUCGACGGGUAGCCGGCCUGAGAGGGCGACCGGCCACAUUGGGACUGAGAUACGGCCCAGACUCCUACGGGAGGCAGCAGUGGGGAAUAUUGCACAAUGGGCGCAAGCCUGAUGCAGCGACGCCGCGUGCGGGAUGACGGCCUUCGGGUUGUAAACCGCUUUUGACUGGGAGCAAGCCCUUCGGGGUGAGUGUACCUUUCGAAUAAGCACCGGCUAACUACGUGCCAGCAGCCGCGGUAAUACGUAGGGUGCAAGCGUUAUCCGGAAUUAUUGGGCGUAAAGGGCUCGUAGGCGGUUCGUCGCGUCCGGUGUGAAAGUCCAUCGCUUAACGGUGGAUCCGCGCCGGGUACGGGCGGGCUUGAGUGCGGUAGGGGAGACUGGAAUUCCCGGUGUAACGGUGGAAUGUGUAGAUAUCGGGAAGAACACCAAUGGCGAAGGCAGGUCUCUGGGCCGUCACUGACGCUGAGGAGCGAAAGCGUGGGGAGCGAACAGGAUUAGAUACCCUGGUAGUCCACGCCGUAAACGGUGGAUGCUGGAUGUGGGGACCAUUCCACGGUCUCCGUGUCGGAGCCAACGCGUUAAGCAUCCCGCCUGGGGAGUACGGCCGCAAGGCUAAAACUCAAAGAAAUUGACGGGGGCCCGCAC
rnacentral:rRNA from 1 species